GAUGAACGCUGGCGGCGUGCCUAAUACAUGCAAGUCGUGCGGAAAGGCCACUUCGGUGGUACUCGAGCGGCGGACGGCAGAGCAACGCGUAGGAACAUACCCAAACUGAGGCAUAACUGCUCGAAAGAGCAGCUAAUACCGCAUGUGAUCUUCGGAUUAAAGCUUCGGCGGUUUGGGAAUGGCCUGCGUCCGAUUAGCUAGUUGGUGAGGUAAAUGCUCACCAAGGCUUCGAUCGGUAGCUGGUCUGAGAGGAUGAUCAGCCUGACUGGAACUGAGAACGGUCCAGACUCCUACGGGAGGCAGCAGUAGGGAAUUUCCACAAUGGGCGAAAGCCUGAUGGAGCAACGCCGCGUGCAGGAUGAAUGCCUUCGGUUGUAAACUGCUUUAUUAGUGAAGAAUAUGACGGUAACUAAUAGAAUAAGGGUCGGCUAACUACGUAGCCAGCAGCCGCGGUAAU
rnacentral:rRNA from 1 species